GGCCCGCUAGCUCAGUUGGUUAGACCAUCGCGCUAAUAACGCGAAGGUCGUAGGUUCGAUCCCUGCGCGGGCCA
rnacentral:tRNA from 1 species